CAACCCCACCAACAUACAUUUUCUCUAGUCUCAUGCUGUCCUUAAUAUCAUUGCUGUCAGAACGUUUGCAUGUAGUCAGUGAAGUAUUCUUGUUCGUAUAAAUCGCGACGAAGAACGACUUCCUGAACCGGCGUCCGGUGCAGAUUGUCAAGGAAAUUGAAAUAUAAAUAAUCAACGAGAUGGCAGCCAGUCAGUAUUACCACGUACAGUGCACGCCCACCGUGUAUCCGGCCGAUCCUUUCGAUCCCGAAGCUGAUGCUACCCUUCUGCGAACUGCGAUGAAGGGUUUUGGCACUGAUGAGCAAGCCAUCAUCGACGUUUUAGCUCAUCGAGGUAUUGUGCAGCGAUUGGAGAUCGCCGACAAAUUCAAAACCAUGUAUGGCAAGGAUCUCAUCUCCGAACUAAAAUCAGAAUUGUCCGGAAAUUUUGAAAACGUCAUCUUGGCCUUGAUGACGCCUCUUCCUGAAUAUUAUGCCAAGGAGUUACAUCAUGCCAUUUCCGGCAUGGGUACCGAUGAGGGUGCGCUCAUCGAGGUUCUCGCAUCUCUCAGCAACUAUGGCAUCAAGACAAUAUCGGCCGUUUACAAGGAUCUGUAUGACAAAGACCUGGAAGACGAUCUCAAGAGCGAUACCUCCGGCCAUUUCAAGAGGCUUUUGGUCUCACUAUCUUGCGCUAACAGAGAUGAGAGUACUGACGUCGAUGAAGAAGCUGCACAUGAAGAUGCUGAGAGACUUCUCGCCGCGGGUGAGGGACAAUGGGGUACUGAUGAGAGUACUUUCAAUGCAAUUCUCGUUACUAAAAGUUACCCGCAAUUGCGAAGGAUUUUUAAGGAAUAUGAACGCCUUGCCGGACACAGUUUGGAGGACGCUAUCAAGCGAGAAUUUUCUGGUUCUAUCGAAGAUGGUUACUUGGCUGUGGUGAAAUGCGCGUCCGACAAGACUGCUUAUUUCGCGGAAAGAUUAUACAAAGCUAUGCGUGGCAUGGGCACGACCGAUUCGACAUUAAUACGCAUCAUCGUGGCACGAUCGGAGAUUGAUCUGGGCGACAUUAAGGAUACAUAUGAGAGACUCUAUGGGAAAUCCCUUGCGGAAGCUAUCGACAAUGACUGCAGCGAUGACUUUAAGCGGCUUCUGAUCGCACUAUUGAAUUAAUGAAUUCACGGAGUUAUUUUCGUUACUAAGAAUUCAAUCAGAUAUUUAACAUAAAUGUCAAUAAUCCAAAAGCAUGUAAAUAAUGAUUGCACCGCUGAGUGGAAAAGAUUAUUAAUAGCAAUGUUGAAUUAAAAGUAGUUAUAAUGUG